rnacentral:rRNA from 1 species
UGGGGAAUAUUGGACAAUGGGCGAAAGCCUGAUCCAGCCAUGCCGCGUGUGUGAAGAAGGUCUUCGGAUUGUAAAGCACUUUAAGUUGGGAGGAAGGGCAGUUACCUAAUACGUAUCUGUUUUGACGUUACCGACAGAAUAAGCACCGGCUAACUCUGUGCCAGCAGCCGCGGUAAUACAGAGGGUGCAAGCGUUAAUCGGAAUUACUGGGCGUAAAGCGCGCGUAGGUGGUUUGUUAAGUUGGAUGUGAAAUCCCCGGGCUCAACCUGGGAACUGCAUUCAAAACUGACUGACUAGAGUAUGGUAGAGGGUGGUGGAAUUUCCUGUGUAGCGGUGAAAUGCGUAGAUAUAGGAAGGAACACCAGUGGCGAAGGCGACCACCUGGACUGAUACUGACACUGAGGUGCGAAAGCGUGGGGAGCAAACAGGAUUAGAUACCCUUGUAGUCCCUGAGCGGGCUGGCAAGGCGCAU